rnacentral:snRNA from 1 species
AUCGCUUCUCGGCCUUUUGGCUAAGAUCAAGUGUAGUAUCUGUUCUUAUCAGUUUAAUAUCUGAUACGUCCUCGAUGAGAGGACUUCAUAUUAAACAGGUUUUUGGGUUCGGGAGUUGCACCCGGAGCUUGCUCCCUCCACUCCGCGCAUCGUCCCGGUAUUGCAGAGCCUCCGGGAGCGGUGCACCCCGC